rnacentral:rRNA from 1 species
GUGGGGGAGCAAACAGGAUUAGAUACCCUGGUAGUCCACGGCCCUAAACGAUGGAUACUCGAUGUCGGGUCGCAAGGCCCGGUGUCCAAGCUAACGCGUUAAGUAUCCCACCUGGGGAGUAUGAUCGCAAGGUUGAAACUCAAAGGAAUUGACGGGGGCCCGCACAAGCAGUGGAGCAUGUGGUUCAAUUCGAUGCAACGCGAAGAACCUUACCUGGGUUUGAAAGGCCAGUGACACCCGAUGAAAGUCGGUUUGGUAGCAAUACGCACUGGUACAGGUGCUGCAUGGCUGUCGUCAGCUCGUGCCGUGAGGUGUUAGGUUAAGUCCUGCAACGAGCCCAACCCCUGCACUUAGUUGCCAUCAGGUCAAGCUGGGCACUCUAGGUGGACUGCCUACGCAAGUAGUGAGGAAGGCGGGGAUGACGUCAAGUCCUCAUGGCCCUUACACCCAGGGCCACACACGUGCUACAAUGGCCGAUACAAAGGGCUGCAAGAGCGCAAGCUGGAGCUAAUCCCAUAAAAUCGGUCUCAGUUCGGAUUGAAGGCUGCAACUCGCCCUCAUGAAGCUGGAAUUGCUAGUAAUCGCGGAUCAGCACGCCGCGGUGAAUACGUUCCCGGGCCUUGUACACACCGCCCGUCAAGCCAUGGAAGCUGGGGGUACCCGAAGUCGUUUUUCCAACCGCAAGGAGGAGAACGCCUAAGGUAAAAUCAGUGACUGGGGCUAAGUCGUAACAAGGUA